rnacentral:rRNA from 1 species
UACGAAGGGGGCGAGCGUUGUUCGGAAUUACUGGGCGUAAAGAGUGUGUAGGCGGUGCUCUAAGUUCGGUGUGAAAUCUCCCGGCUUAACUGGGAGGGUGCGCCGGAAACUGGAGUGCUUGAGCGCGGGAGAGGAAAGCGGAAUUCCUGGUGUAGCGGUGAAAUGCGUAGAUAUCAGGAGGAACACCUGUGGUGUAGACGGCUUUCUGGACCGUAGCUGACGCUGAGACACGAAAGCGUGGGUAGCAAACAGG